GGGUCCUGUUCCCUGACAACUGUGUGUCAGGGAACAGUUAUCCAACACAUCAUUCCCCAGCCGUUGGAUCGUUGAUCCAACGGCUGGGGUAAAAGAAAAUUUUUUUAGCGUUCCGCGGUUUUUUUCCGCGGAAGGGGUGUUUUCAACAGACGAUCCGCGUAUUUUUCCGCGGAUCAGCGGGAGUUUUUUAAGCGUUCCGCGGUAAAUACCCGCGGAACUAUCAGAC
rnacentral:lncRNA from 1 species